CCUGCGGAAUAGCUCCGGGAAACUGGAAUUAAUACCGCAUACGCCCUACGGGGGAAAGAUUUAUCGGGGUAUGAUGAGCCCGCGUUGGAUUAGCUAGUUGGUGGGGUAAAGGCCUACCAAGGCGACGAUCCAUAGCUGGUCUGAGAGGAUGAUCAGCCACAUUGGGACUGAGACACGGCCCAAACUCCUACGGGAGGCAGCAGUGGGGAAUAUUGGACAAUGGGCGCAAGCCUGAUCCAGCCAUGCCGCGUGAGUGAUGAAGGCCUUAGGGUUGUAAAGCUCUUUCACCGGAGAAGAUAAUGACGGUAUCCGGAGAAGAAGCCCCGGCUAACUUCGUGCCAGCAGCCGCGGUAAUACGAAGGGGGCUAGCGUUGUUCGGAAUUACUGGGCGUAAAGCGCACGUAGGCGGAUAUUUAAGUCAGGGGUGAAAUCCCAGAGCUCAACUCUGGAACUGCCUUUGAUACUGGGUAUCUUGAGUAUGGAAGAGGUAAGUGGAAUUCCGAGUGUAGAGGUGAAAUUCGUAGAUAUUCGGAGGAACACCAGUGGCGAAGGCGGCUUACUGGUCCAUUAC
rnacentral:rRNA from 1 species